CUCAGACCCUCCAUCUCUCUUCCAUGAAUGAAGCUCUCUGAGGCGGCAAUAUGGCAGAGACCGACAGCGUUCACGCUUGAUGUCCAGCGAUUGGAGGCGCAGGACGGGAGUCGGGGCUGCUAAUCCGUCCGCGGCGCUGGUCCGAUGGCUCCAUCCUCCGGAGUAUGGUAACUGGACCCGAGGAAGAGUUGUUCUCGGUAGAGAUUAAUCAUGGUGGGGUUUUUCUCGGCUUUGGCGCAAACAAGAAAUACAUGGAUUGAAAACAGAUUUCUUUGAUCAUUCUGAGGUUGAAACCUGGCCGCCACUGUGGAUUAAAGAUUUUGUGUAGCAGCUUGGCUAUGAUCCAAGUAAAGUGCAGUGUUUCUGGUUACUUCCUGGCAUGAAUUUGGAUAAUGGACUGAGAAUUAUCGAUAUAGAUGUAGAUUGUCUUCGUAUGAUUGAUGUUGUGCCAAAGUUCAAGCAUUUCAAGUUGUACAUGGAUCAUGGUGAUAUUUAUAGUGAACUGGAUAUGGUUGACAUAUGCAUAAUUGGCUCACCUACAAUGCUUGAUAUCAUGAGUAAACACAGCACCUUAAAACAAAAUAUUAGAUGCUUGUAAAAGAGGCUUUUUACCUGGAUGCGGGCCUGUUAUUUGUGUUGAUGGGUGCCAUCUUAAAACAAAAUAUGGUGGACAAUUGUUGACUGCUGUAGGGAUUGAUCCAAACAACUGUAUUUUCCCCAUUGCUAUGGCUGCAGUUGAAGUGGAGGACACACCAACAUGGAAGUGGUUUCUACAAACUUUGAAAGAUGAUAUGCACAUAGUGAACACAACACCUUGGACAGUGAUGAGUGAUAGGCAAAAAGGACUAAUAAAUGUCGUUAUUGCUCUGUUCCCUCAUGCACAACACAGGUUUUGUGUGAGGCACCUUUACCAAAAUUUUGCAAAGAAGUGGAAGGGCGGUAACCUGAAGAACAAGUUAUGGGCAAUUGCAAGGUCCUACAAUAAAAUUGACUGGAGAAAAAACAUGAAUGACAUGAAGGAAUUAAAUCCGGAAGCUUAUGAGUACGUAGAAGCAAUUGAACCAAGUUCCUGGUGCAGGGCUUUUUUCCAAUAAUUACCAAAGUGUGACCUGCUACUAAACAAUAAUUGUGAGGUCUUUAAUAAGUGGAUACUUGAUGCUAGAGAGCUGCCUGUCAUGAGCAUGUUCAAAAAAAAUCAAAAAUCCAUUGUUGACAAGGUUUUAUAGCAAGAACAAGGAAAGUGAAGAGUGGUCUGGAACAAUUUGUCCUAAGUUCAAAAAUUUAUGUGAUAAGAAUGCAGAAAUGGCUAAUAAUUGUCGGGCAUUGCCUUCUGGCAAAGGCAUCUUUACUGUCUUGGGACUCAGAGGCGAGUACAAGGUUGACAUUAACAAAUACACAUGUUCAUGCAAAGCUUGGCAGCUAACAUGCUAACAAGUGUGGGAACAGAACAUGUCUGUGCUGGACAUACUGAUGCAAUCUUCACAACCGUCCCAGGAAUCCCAGGCACCAAGACCUCUUCCUGACAAUCAAUUUCUUGCAAGCCAAAUAGAGGAUCUACCAAUGACAAAAUAGACCACAACUAUAAUCCAUGUAGCACCAAAGAAGAAGAAAAGGAAGGAGAAGAUCACGGAGAAGGAGAGUGUUAUUCCUAGGAAGAAGAAAUAGAAGAUGAAGUGGACAUGCCUUCUAUUGGACAUAACCUGGUUUCUUUUUGGACAGAGUUGGGUUUAUUUUGGAUAGAUAGAGAUGGUUAGCGCCUUCUCAAAUUGAAGGCUUUAUUUUGGACGGAGGUACUACUUAUGUAAUGUGGUACUGCAUCAUGCAGAGUGCAACCCAGUACCACAUUACAUAGUUGCAAGCUUUACUGUUUAUCUAUGUUUAUGCAAGAGCACUCUUUAUGUAAUGACAAUAUGAUGUGCUACUUCCUGGAAUUGUGGCAAUUCUCAUCUGUAUAUUUGCCUGUUAAGUUGCAACAUCAUUUCUCUCUUC